CGGGAAGAGUAGGGAGAGUGGAUGGGCGUAGUAGAGCGUGAGUGCGAGACAUAGGGGUGGGGAUGGGAGGAAAAGCGGAGUGAGUGUGGCGGGGGGUCGGCGGGGAAGGGCCAUCGCCAAACGGAUAACAGCUACCCGGGGGAUAGCUGGCGUACCUACCCCGAGAGACCACAGCGACGGGGAGGUUUGGCACUUGGAUGUCGGCGCAUCACAGCCGGGGGCUGUAGUAGGUCCCAGGGGUUGGGCUGUUCGCCCAUUAAAGUGGUACGCGAGCUGGGUUCAGAACGUGGGGAGACAGUUCGGUCCCUAUCCGUGGCAGGCGUAGGAAAUUUGAGAAGACCUGUCCUUAGUACGAGAGGACCGGGAUGGACGUACCUCUGGUG
rnacentral:rRNA from 1 species